UACGGAGGGGGCUAGCGUUGUUCGGAAUUACUGGGCGUAAAGCGCACGUAGGCGGCUUUGUACGUUAGAGGUGAAAGCCUGGGGCUCAACUCCAGAACUGCCUUUAAGACUGCAUCGCUUGAAUCAUGGAGAGGCGGGUGGAAUUCCGAGUGUAGAGGUGAAAUUCGUAGAUAUUCGGAAGAACACCAGUGGCGAAGGCGGCCCGCUGGACAUGUAUUGACGCUGAGGUGCGAAAGCGUGGGGAGCAAACAGG
rnacentral:rRNA from 1 species